rnacentral:rRNA from 1 species
GACGAACGCUGGCGGCGUGCUUAACACAUGCAAGUCGAACGGAGCACCCCUGAAGGAGUUUUCGGACAACGGAAGGGAAUGCUUAGUGGCGGACUGGUGAGUAACGCGUGAGGAACCUGCCUUCCAGAGGGGGACAACAGUUGGAAACGACUGCUAAUACCGCAUGAAACAUUUGAACCGCAUGGUUUGAAUGUCAAAGAUUUAUCGCUGGAAGAUGGCCUCGCGUCUGAUUAGCUAGUAGGCGGGGUAACGGCCCACCUAGGCGACGAUCAGUAGCCGGACUGAGAGGUUGACCGGCCACAUUGGGACUGAGAUACGGCCCAGACUCCUACGGGAGGCAGCAGUGGGGAAUAUUGGGCAAUGGGCGCAAGCCUGACCCAGCAACGCCGCGUGAAGGAAGAAGGCUUUCGGGUUGUAAACUUCUUUUAAGAGGGAAGAGAAGAAGACGGUACCUCUUGAAUAAGCCACGGCUAACUACGUGCCAGCAGCCGCGGUAAUACGUAGGUGGCAAGCGUUGUCCGGAUUUACUGGGUGUAAAGGGCGUGCAGCCGGGAAGACAAGUCAGAUGUGAAAUCCCGCGGCUCAACCGCGGAACUGCAUUUGAAACUGUUUUUCUUGAGUACCGGAGAGGUCAUCGGAAUUCCUUGUGUAGCGGUGAAAUGCGUAGAUAUAAGGAAGAACACCAGUGGCGAAGGCGGAUGACUGGACGGCAACUGACGGUGAGGCGCGAAAGCGUGGGGAGCAAACAGGAUUAGAUACCCUGGUAGUCCACGCUGUAAACGAUGGAUACUAGGUGUGCGGGGACUGACCCCCUGCGUGCCGCAGUUAACACAAUAAGUAUCCCACCUGGGGAGUACGAUCGCAAGGUUGAAACUCAAAGGAAUUGACGGGGGCCCGCACAAGCGGUGGAUUAUGUGGUUUAAUUCGAAGCAACGCGAAGAACCUUACCAGGGCUUGACAUGGAGAGGACCGCUCUAGAGAUAGGGUUUUCCCUUCGGGGACCUCUCACACAGGUGGUGCAUGGUUGUCGUCAGCUCGUGUCGUGAGAUGUUGGGUUAAGUCCCGCAACGAGCGCAACCCCUAUUGUUAGUUGCUACGCAAGAGCACUCUAGCGAGACUGCCGUUGACAAAACGGAGGAAGGUGGGGACGACGUCAAAUCAUCAUGCCCCUUAUGUCCUGGGCUACACACGUAAUACAAUGGCGGUCAACAGAGGGAUGCAAAUCCGCGAGGAGGAGCGAACCCCCAAAAGCCGUCCCAGUUCGGAUCGCAGGCUGCAACCCGCCUGCGUGAAGUCGGAAUCGCUAGUAAUCGCGGAUCAGCAUGCCGCGGUGAAUACGUUCCCGGGCCUUGUACACACCGCCCGUCACACCAUGAGAGUCGGGAACACCCGAAGUCCGUAGCCUAACAGCAAUGAGGGCGCGGCCGAAGGUGGGUUCGAUAAUUGGGGUGAAGUCGUAACAAGGUAGCCGUUCGAGAACGAGCGGCUGGAUCACCUCCUUUCUAAGGAGAACACGGCGUAUGAAAAAGGACGCCGUAAUCCUGGUCAGCUGGAGCGAACGGAGUAGUUACGUUGUUUAAUUUAGAGGGUGUAUGCUGUGAGAGGCGGGAGCCAAGACCGAAGACGGGCCUGUAGCUCAGCUGGCUAGAGCGUACGACUGAUAAUCGUAAGGUCGGUGGUUCGAGCCCACUCAGGCCCACCAAAAGUCCAAAAGCAAGCGACGAGAGCCGGGGAUAUAGCUCAGCUGGGAGAGCGCCUGCCUUGCAAGCAGGAGGUCGCCGGUUCGAACCCGACUAUCUCCACCAUUGAGAUCAAAUCGAAGCAUUUGAUGGGAAUCAAGUGUUUCGAUCUGGCUUCAAAAGAGCUGGAGGCGCACCUUGAAAACUGAACAAUACAACACAAGUGAUAAGUAAGGCAACAGAGAGGCGCCAUACGAGAGUAUGGCAAAUUUAAUUGUGGAACAGCGUCCGGAAGGACGCAGGGUAACAAUUACAAUUUCAACAAUCUGUGAAGCCUGCAUAAUUCUUGAGAGAACCAUUUUCUCUGACACGUAGGAGAGAAGGCCAGAACUGUUCCGCUGUCCCCAGCCGAAUGAAAGCCCAGUGAAACGGGUUUCGUUCGGAGAGGAGGAGCAAGGGAGCGGAAUGGACUUAGCUCCGACGAUAGGUCAAGCUGAAAAGGGCGCAAGGGGAAUGCCUUGGCAUCAGGAGCCGACGAAGGACGUGACAAGCUGCGAUAAGCCGCGGGGAGGAGCAAAUAUCCCUUGAUCCGCGGAUUUCCGAAUGGGGCAACCCACAUGGACAAUAUCCAUGUAACGUGCGUUGAAUCAAAUAGGCGUACGUGGGGAACCGCCUGAACUGAAACAUCUAAGUAGGGCGAGGAAAAGACAUCAACCGAGAUUCCGCUAGUAGUGGCGAGCGAACGCGGAAGAGGCCAAACCGGAGGAUUUAUUCUCCGGGGUUGCGGACAGCUAUAAGACAGUCUAGUUUAGCCGAACGGUCUGGGAAGGCCGGUCACAGAGGGUGAGAACCCCGUAGGCGAAAAACGAGGGCUGUUGAGCUGAAUCCAGAGUACCGCGGGACACGUGAAACCCCGUGGGAAACCGGGUGGACCACCAUCCAAGCCUAAAUACUACCUGAUGACCGAUAGAGGAGC